UUGUGAAGAAUCCAUUCCAUGAUCUGUACCAGUCUUUUAGAGUACCGAGUAUAGCAGCUAGGUCAUGUUAGUCCAUUCCAGGUUUUGGUUUUGACUGGAGAACUCAGCUACAAAUACAUGCUGUGUUCAGUGAGCUAGUGCUCCCUGGAAUUUUACUUUAAAAACUACAUACUGCAUCUGUGUGAUUCUUUCCAGAAGCUUCUAAUCAGUUAGGACACAGCAGGAGCCUUGCAUUAUCAUGGCCACUUGAGAUGUACCUGCAACUCUCUUUGACAGGCAGGCAUUUUGUCAAUGGAAGUUUCAGGCAAACAUUUGAGGGUGAAAUUUGACAGAAAACUGAUGGAAGGGCUUUAGCUGUGAGAGAGCCUUGACUCUGGAAUUCACUCCUGUACUCCUGAGUCUGUUAACCAUUCAGACACACUGCAAAGCCUAUUCCUGAGGGAGGAGUAUCAGAUGAUCUAGUAGUUCUGGGUGGCUUCAGCUUGAUUUUCAUUGUUUGGUUGGCUAUUUUCUGGGUUUGCGGGUGAGGAGAGAUUGCUGGAUUUACUCCUGUUUGUACAGAUGUCAAAAGAUCUUUGGAUAGGUGCUUUUAUUCUUUACAUAUGCAUUGAAAGAUACUCAAAUAAAAUCUGCACAAGAUGAAUAUUUCUGACUAUCUUCAAGCAAUUGGCAGUUGACCGCAUUGCAUGGCACCGCCCUGUAGGGUGGAUGUCCAUGACAUUGAGAAGAACCGUGUUGCUCAGCUGGAAGCACAAUGCCAGACACAUCCAAGCGCUGCCCCAUCUCUGUCCCUGCCUCCCACAGCCCUUCAGCAAGAGUCUGUCGCAGGGAAGGUGGGUCAGGAACUCACCAGCUGUCUGCGGAGCCCCAGGCAUCUCAUGCCCUGGCUGGGCAGAAGCAGGGGAACUGCCCAGGAAGAACCCUGGUGACUGAACGCCACAGCUGCCUCCACAGACAAGAGCCGCUUCCAGUACCAUGCACACCGGCCCCACAUGUCUCCAGAGGCACUGCCCAGAGCCCCCAAAGAGGCUGUGCAGUCAAGGCACCAAUCCCUGCUGGCAGCACCAGUGCAAACACCAAGAUGGUGCAUCUCGCUGCCCUUGGUAACAGCUAUUCAGGAGCAACGGCUGGGUGCUGCAGGGAAGGAGUGCUGGUUUCCAGGAGGGUAGACUGCAGGGGUGGGGUUGUGAGUCGAGCCAUUCAGGGGUAGCUGAAACUUUAACUUGUGCCCCUCCACUAUCAACAUAUACAGUUUGGGGAAGCAAGGCCCUCUAUAUCCUUCUUCCUCUCCCCCUCCCCCAAUCUCUGCCUAUGCUUUGGAGGCUGCUGUGGCAGUAAAAAAAGCCUUUGGUGGCCAUAUUUGAGAAACGCUGACCUAGAUACACCAACCUACUUCACCUAAGCGAAUAGGGUCUGCUCCUGAAAUUUCUUCCCCCAGGUCAUCAACAGAUGGCAGGCAAGAGCUUUCAGACCUUGACUUAUAAUAAUAAAGGGUUUAUCAUGACACUGCUAUGCUUGUCA
rnacentral:lncRNA from 1 species